UACGGGAGUGGCAAGCGUUAUCCGGAAUUAUUGGGCGUAAAGCGUCCGCAGGCGGUCUUGUAAGUCUGUUGUUAAAGCGUGGAGCUUAACUCCAUUUCAGCAAUGGAAACUGUAAGACUAGAGUGUGGUAGGGGCAGAGGGAAUUCCCGGUGUAGCGGUGAAAUGCGUAGAUAUCGGGAAGAACACCAGUGGCGAAGGCGCUCUGCUGGGCCAUAACUGACGCUCAUGGACGAAAGCCAGGGGAGCGAAAGGGAUUAGAUACCCCUGUAGUCCUGGCCGUAAACGAUGAACACUAGGUGUCGGGGGAAUCGACCCCCUCGGUGUCGUAGCCAACGCGUUAAGUGUUCCGCCUGGGGAGUACGCACGCAAGUGUGAAACUCAAAGGAAUUGACGGGGGCCCGCACAAGCGGUGGAGUAUGUGGUUUAAUUCGAUGCAACGCGAAGAACCUUACCAGGGUUUGACAUCCUGCGAAUCUUUUGGAAACGAGAGAGUGCCUUCGGGAACGCAGUGACAGGUGGUGCAUGGCUGUCGUCAGCUCGUGUCGUGAGAUGUUGGGUUAAGUCCCGCAACGAGCGCAACCCACGUCGUUAGUUGCCAGCAUUUAGUUGGGCACUCUAGCGAGACCGCCGGUGAUAAACCGGAGGAAGGUGUGGAUGACGUCAAGUCAUCAUGCCCCUUACAUCCUGGGCUACACACGUACUACAAUGCUACGGACAAAGGGCAGCAAACUCGCGAGAGCUAGCAAAUCCCAUAAACCGUGGCUCAGUUCAGAUCGUAGGCUGCAACUCGCCUACGUGAAGGAGGAAUCGCUAGUAAUCGCAGGUCAGCAUACUGCGGUGAAUACGUUCCCGGGCCU
rnacentral:rRNA from 1 species